GCUGCCUCCAUCCCGAUGGGGGACAGCAGCUAAGAUGGCAACAGACAAGCCACAUGUUGCUUAUAGCCCAAGAUGGCAUCAUACCAUAUGGUUCCUUUAAGGUUACCUAUGUAUAGAUUUUUAACUGUCAACCUCUCAUGUUACAAAUUUUAAGUUAACUUUUUUUUUUGUUACAGAUUUUACAGAUUUUUAACCAUACCCAGUAAACAUACAAAUUUUGAGGUACAGAAAGUUUACAUAAUGAAUAGUCUUACAGAUCUUGAGCUAAGGUUUACAUCUUAGCAAAAGUUUUAGGCAGUUAAAUGAAACCAAUAAUCUAAUUCCUGUUGUUGUUUUGCUUUGCUCUCCCAUCUCUGUCACAAAGUCAAGUGGCCUGUCUGACAGAGGACAAUUGGAGGUUACCCAAGCAUGCUUGGGUCUACAGGAGGGAGAGUCAUAGCCCACUCCAGAGUCAACUUUUCAAUAAAGUAGAGCAACAUUAAACAACUUUAAUAUUAUCCAUACCCAAAAGAUAUUUGAAUCCCUGCCAAACUGAAUCCAGUGACAGGAAAGCUUAAAGAUAAGAAAUGCAGAGCCCUGGCCAUCAAAGCCAUUGAGGCAAGUGGCAUUGGUGGUGACUGGUGUUUCCAGAGACAGCAAAAACAAAGCCAGCAGCACACACAGAACACAGACUGGUCACACACUCAGAGGAGGUCAGAAGCAAAACAGAGCAUGGACUGGCAACCAUCAUUUAUACAUACAUCUGAGCCAGAUGUAUCACAUUUCCCCCUAUAUCCCAGAUGUGCACACCAGAAAACACAGAGUGCACACACACACACACACACACACACACACACAACAGACAGGCAGACAAAACUUUAUGACCUUUAACUGGGCUCAACCAAUUUCCAUUUUGACUCCCAGUAUAUGAACAACAAGAACCAGGUGGGUGGAUAACGUUUUGCAUUUUGCCUUGGAUAGGAGGCCAUUAGGUCCUGUUGAACCCUUCCUCGUCCUAUAUUGGGAUCUGAACAGAUUCGAUGUCACAGCAAAUUACUAUGACUUACCAGAGGAGGCCUCUGGUAGGUGGUUACUGCUUUUCUCAGGAUGGCAGUUGGAAUCUUGGAGCAUCUCUGUGCACACCUUCUGAGGGGACCUUUCAGCCCUGGAGUCCUGGAGUGUAGGCCUGACUUUAGAAUUUGGGUAUGAUCUUCCUGGGGGCCUCCAGAAAAUGCUAACUCCAUUAGGUGAGAAUAACAAUAUAUCCACAAUUUUUGAGUCACAGUUAAAGCAACCUUUAUUAAAUUCUGGCCAUGAUAAUGGGUCUCAAUCAGGUCCAUACCCAGGAUUCCCAUUGUAUGGCCACAAAGUACAUUAUUCAUCAGGAGCUUAUAAAGGUUUAAAUCCACAAGGCUACCCACUUCCCACCUUUGUCCAAUCAGUGGCAAGCAUACAUCCUGAAUGUGGUCAAGCAUAGUCUGUGCUGUUGGGACAACCAAAUUGUUUACAGAAGCAAUUAUUAACUUAAAUGAACAAGAGAGCCUCCAGCAAUCCAGAUAGUUAUCUGCCCUUGGGCAAGUGGGGCUUUUAUAGAUCUCUUAAGCAUAGUAAUUUAAACUUAAAGCAUAAUGUUAGCCUUCAUAGUAUGUCACCCGAUGUAUAAUCUAUGCCGAAAGAUACCCAUUUGUUGUUGAGAAGAAUGUGUGUUCUUUUGGUUGGAGAGCAUCUCCACAUACUAGCUCUAGUUGGCUUGUGUGAUUCUCUCCAUUUCCUUCUCUUAUGUUUAUUCUGCCCUUUGUUCCUUUGAGAGUGAAGUAUUAUAAUGGAGGGUUUUUUUUCCAACUCAUGGAAAUCAUAUUGCACACUUUUUAAUCAACAGAUGAAAGAAGUCACAAAGGUGUUAUAGGGUUUGAGAGGCCCAGAUAAGUCAAAUGGAGCCUUAAUUGUUGGCAAAAUUUUCCCAAACAGAUGAGUGGGAAGCAGCCUUGACCUCCAGUCGGUUCAGGUUUUCAGGGCAAAAAAAAAAAAACCCCACAAUUGCGACAUAUUUGGAAAGGCAGUUCUGGACAUGUGCAGCAAGCACGCCUUAUUUACUGAAGUGGACAGAUAGCAGUUAAAUGAUCAGGCAGUUAACCCUUAAAGCCCAGGAUCACGUUGCACAGGAAUUUAUGGCUAGUCCAGAAACCUAUUUUACCAAGAUUGUUUGAGAACUUAAAGUAUGCUUGGAAGCUCUUCCAUGAGAUGGCAUAACUAUACUUCAGUAGCCCACAACUCAUGAAGUCAGAGGAUACUUAGAAAUUAUUUAAGACACAAUACAAUAUAUAAAAAAUAUGAAAUUCAUUUAAAGUACUGCUAAAGAGAAAUUUUUUACUUCUGAAUUUAUAUAGCAAAAGGUCAGAAAGAUAAAGAUCUCAAAUUAACAUAACUUUAUGAUACAUGAAGAAAUAUAAGCUAAAUAUGAAGCUUUCAGAAGGAAGAAAAUAGAUGAGAGGGGAGACAGAGAGAGAGAGAGAGAGAGAGAGAGAGAG
rnacentral:lncRNA from 1 species